GAAAUGCGAUAAUUAAUGUGAAUUGCAGAAUUCAGUGAAUCAUCGAGUCUUUGAACGCACAUUGCGCCCCCUGGUAUUCCGGGGGGCAUGCCUGUCCGAGCGUCAUUGCUGCCCUCAAGCACGGCUUGUGUGUUGGGCUUCCGUCCCUGGCAACGGGGACGGGCCCAAAAGGCAGUGGCGGCACCAUGUCUGGUCCUCGAGCGUAUGGGGCUUUGUCACCCGCUCCCGUAGGUCCAGCUGGCAGCUAGCCUCGCAACCAAUCUUUUUAACCAGGUUGACCUCGGAUCAGGUAGGGAUACCCGCUGAAAUUAAGC
rnacentral:misc_RNA from 1 species